CGAUCCACCUUCAACCUCAAAAGAGUUCGAGGUGAUUAGAGAAAAAGAUCCAAUCAGAUCAACUAUCGAAAGUAGUUUUCGCGAGCUAGCACUCUCGGAGACAUCAUAUCGGAAUCAGGGCUUCGUGUGGAUGUUUCAUAGAGGUCGGACAUGUUGUGCAGCUGUGAACAACCAGUGAAGACCUCCAGAUCCACAUUCACAAUCAUGAUAUUCGACUAUCCGUAC
rnacentral:lncRNA from 1 species